rnacentral:rRNA from 1 species
AGUAAACGCUGGCGGUAGGCCUAACACAUGCAAGUCGAACGGCAGCACAGUAAGAGCUUGCUCUUACGGGUGGCGAGUGGCGGACGGGUGAGGAAUACAUCGGAAUCUACUUUUUCGUGGGGGAUAACGUAGGGAAACUUACGCUAAUACCGCAUACGACCUACGGGUGAAAGCAGGGGAUCUUCGGACCUUGCGCGAUUGAAUGAGCCGAUGUCGGAUUAGCUAGUUGGCGGGGUAAAGGCCCACCAAGGCGACGAUCCGUAGCUGGUCUGAGAGGAUGAUCGCCCAAAUUGGAACUGAUACACGGUCCAGACCCCAACGGGAGGCACGAGGGGGAAAAUUGGGAAACGGGGGCAAAGCCUAAACCAGCCCCCCCGGGGGGGGAAAAAAGGCCUCGGGGUUGUAAAGCCCUUUUUUUGGGAAAAAAAGGACGGAGUUUAACUCCCCGCUUUUCUGACGGAACCCAAAAAAAAAGCCCCGGCAAACUUCGU